rnacentral:rRNA from 1 species
GUGGGGAAUAUUGGACAAUGGGCGAAAGCCUGAUCCAGCCAUGCCGCGUGUGUGAAGAAGGUCUUCGGAUUGUAAAGCACUUUAAGUUGGGAGGAAGGGCAGUAAGUUAAUACCUUGCUGUUUUGACGUUACCGACAGAAUAAGCACCGGCUAACUUCGUGCCAGCAGCCGCGGUAAUACGAAGGGUGCAAGCGUUAAUCGGAAUUACUGGGCGUAAAGCGCGCGUAGGUGGUUUUGUAAGUUGGAGGUGAAAUCCCCGGGCUCAACCUGGGAACUGCCUCCAAAACUGCAUGACUGGAGUACGGUAGAGGGUAGUGGAAUUUCCUGUGUAGCGGUGAAAUGCGUAGAUAUAGGAAGGAACACCAGUGGCGAAGGCGACUACCUGGACUGAUACUGACACUGAGGUGCGAAAGCGUGGGGAGCAAACAGGAUUAGAAACCCGGGUAGUCC